rnacentral:rRNA from 1 species
UACGUAGGGGGCAAGCGUUGUCCGGAUUUAUUGGGCGUAAAGAGCGUGUAGGCGGCCAUACAGGUCCGUUGUGAAAACUGGAGGCUUAACCUCCAGACGUCGAUGGAAACCGUAUGGCUAGAGUCCGGAAGAGGAGAGUGGAAUUCCUGGUGUAGCGGUGAAAUGCGCAGAUAUCAGGAAGAACACCCGUGGCGAAGGCGGCUCUCUGGGACGGUACUGACGCUGAGGCACGAAAGCGUGGGGAGCAGACAGG